AGUGAACGCUGGCGGUAGGCUUAACACAUGCAAGUCGAACGGCAGCACAGUAAGAGCUUGCUCUUACGGGUGGCGAGUGGCGGACGGGUGAGGAAUACAUCGGAAUCUACUUUUUCGUUGGGGUUAACGUAGGGAAACUUACGCCAAUACCGCAUACGACCUACGGGUGAAAGCAGGGGAACUUUGGACCUUGCGCGAUUGAAUGAGCCGAUGUCGGAUUAGUUAGUUGGCGGGGUAAAGGCCCACCAUGUCGACGAUCCGUAGCUGGUCUGAGAGGAUGGUCAGCCACACUGGAAGGUAGACACGGACCAGGCUCCUACGAGAGGCAGCAGUGGGGAAUGGUGGGCAAUGGGGGCAAGCCUGAUCCAGCCAUACCACGUGGGUGGAGAAGGCCUUCGGGUUGUAAAGCCGUUUUGUUGGGAAAAAAAAGCAGCAGGUUAAUACGCCGCCGUUCUGACGGUAACCAAAGAAUAAGCACCGGCUAACUACGUG
rnacentral:rRNA from 1 species